rnacentral:rRNA from 1 species
UACGGCAGAAAGCAGGGGACCUUCGGGCCUUGCGCUAUCAGAUGAGCCUAGGUCGGAUUAGCUAGUUGGUGAGGUAAUGGCUCACCAAGGCGACGAUCCGUAACUGGUCUGAGAGGAUGAACAGUCACACUGGAACUGAGACACGGUCCAGACUCCUACGGGAGGCAGCAGUGGGGAAUAUUGGACAAUGGGCGAAAGCCUGAUCCAGCCAUGCCGCGUGUGUGAAGAAGGUCUUCGGAUUGUAAAGCACUUUAAGUUGGGAGGAAGGGCAGUAAGCUAAUACCUUGCUGUUUUGACGUU